rnacentral:misc_RNA from 1 species
AAGUCGUAACAAGGUUUCCGUAGGUGAACCUGCGGAAGGAUCAUUAACACGUAUCCAACGUUAAACCCCCCUGUGAACUUUUAUACUUGCUCUCUUAACUGACGGAAUUGCAAUCCCUGGUAAAUCAUUGUUGAACAGAUUUUGAUUCAGGGACCUCAGUUUGGCAGUUAGGAUUGAGCGAUCGUUGCAAGUGGCCUGGUUUCCCCAAGCAGUCAGUGUCUGAAAGUGGCAUUGAUUGCCGGUGACCAGGUCGCCGUGGCUUCGGCCCCCUAUAUUAACCCCACUACCUGAUUCCGCCUCGUAGGAAACUGCUGGGCAACAAACCGAACAACUGUUAACAAUGGAUAUCUUGGUUCUC